rnacentral:rRNA from 1 species
AGUUUAACGGCCGCAAUCUCCCGAGUUGCGGCCACUUACAUGGAUAUCUGUGGCAAUUCUAGAGCUAAUACAUGCCGAGUAUAACCCACUUCCGCAAUUCUGCGGAACCGGUUGCUUUAUUAGAACAAGACUCUAGCCUCCGGCCUGGGCGGGACAUUGACUCACUACCUUGCUUCGCACCUCUUCAUCCUCCCGAGGAUCGUUUUGCGUGUUGUCGCAGCCCGUGUUUCAUUGCUCUCGGGGUCGCGAAACAAAUCCCAUGGUGAUGCACGAUAACGGACCACGAUCGCACGGUCAAUCCGUAUUGGCGACGAAUUCAAAUAGCACGUCUGCCUUAUCAGGCCAGAUGGCUUUUAUGGGGCAUGCCAUGGCAGUGACGGGAGACGGGGAAUCAGGGUUCGAUUCCGGAGAGGGAGCCUGAGAAAUGGCUACCACAUCCAAGGAAGGCAGCAGGCACGGAAAUUACCCACUGCCGACAUCGGUGAGGUAGUGACGACCCAUAACAAUUCGGGACUCUUUCGAGGCCCCGUAUUUGGAAUGAGCGCUCUUUAAAUCCUUUGACGAGGAUCAAUUGGAGGGCAAGUCUGGUGCCAGCAGCCGCGGUAAUUCCAGCUCCAAGGGCAUAUACUAAAGCUGUUGCGGUUAAAAAGCUCGUAGUCGGAUCUCAGUUCUCGGGCCGGUGGUCCACCGCAAUUCCGCGGUGGUUGUCAAAAACACCACCUGCGUCCGGAACAAAAUCACAAAAGAUGGAACAAGAUACAGCCCUCCCAUCGUCUCGCUUGUUCAUCCUCUUUGCCGGGUGUGAUCACGGGUCAUGGCGGGUGGCUCGUAUAUAUUUGUCUCUUUUCUUUUUUCUUUUACUUUGAAUAAAUCAAUGUGCUUAAUGCAGGCGUUGCGCUCUGCUCGAAUGAUACAGCAUGGAAUAAUGGAACAUGUCCACGGUUUCUGUUGGUCUUGCGAAUCCGAGGAAAUGAUCGAUAGGGACUGACGGGGGCAUCCGUACUGCGGCGCGAGAGGUGAAAUUCUAGGACCGUCGCAAGACGCCCAAGUGCGAAAGCAUUUGCCAAGAAUGUUUUCGUUGAUCAAGAACGAAAGUUAGAGGUUCGAAGGCGAUCAGAUACCGCCCUAGUUCUAACUGUAAAUGAUGCCAACCAGCAAUGUGCCGGCGUUCCUCCAAUGACCCGACACGCAGCUUUCCGGGAAACCAAAGUCUUUGGGUUCCGGGGGAAGUAUGGUUGCAAAUCUGAAACUUAAAGGAAUUGACGGAAGGGCACCACCAGGAGUGGAGCCUGCGGCUUAAUUUGACUCAACACGGGAAAACUCACCCGGCCCGGACACUGGAAGGAUUGACAGAUUGAGAGCUCUUUCUUGAUUCAGUGGGUGGUGGUGCAUGGCCGUUCUUAGUUGGUGGAACGAUUUGUCUGGUUAAUUCCGAUAACGAACGAGACUCUAGCCUACUAAAUAGGCGACUGCCCCGUCCCGGCGCAGUCCGAUCUCUUCUUAGAGGGACAAGCGGCUUACAGCCGUACGAAACUGAGCAAUAACAGGUCUGUGAUGCCCUUAGAUGUCCGGGGCCGCACGCGCGCUACAAUGAAGGGAUCAGCGUGUGCUUGCUUAUUCCCCGGUCCGAGAUGACCGGGAAAUCCAUUGAAACCCCUUCGUGAUGGGGAUUGGGGUCUGCAACUGUCCCCCAUGAACGAGGAAUUCCCAGUAAGCGCGGGUCAUAAGCUCGCGUUGAUUACGUCCCUGCCCUUUGUACACACCGCCCGUCGCUACUACCGAUUGAAUGAUUUAGUGAGGUCUUUGGACUGGUGUUCGCCGGGCCCCCGUGCCUGGCGUCACACGCUGGAAAGAUGACCGAACUUGAUCAUUUAGAGGAAGUAAAAGUCGUAACAAGGUUUCCGUAGGUGAACCUGCGGAAGGGAUCAAUAAA